AGCCAGUGAAGUACUACAAACCCAAUCAGAGGGGCGGAGCUACCGUGGUGCAGCAGGUGCAUUGACGACACUGUAUGGCUAUGGCUUUCUUCCCCCCCCAAAACUGUGGAAGCAUGGAAUAUAAUUUCAUUUAAGAAAGCACGUUACAUCCAGAGGACAGUUCUUUUGAAAUGUGCUGAUUAUAAUUAUGAAUAUUAAUUGGGAGUAAAGAGAAAUUACUUUGAAGAGUCUACACAAUAAGCUACACACACACACACCAGACAAAUGAGUGCAGCAGAUUUUCAAGAUCAUUAGGAACUCUGUGAGGAGCAGGACGGACCGGGGACGACGGAAUGGACUGACUUGAGUGCACCAGGGUCCAGGAUUUGGAUUUAAAGGACGCCAUUGACCCCUGACCACAAAAUGAGUCUGGAACUACCGUGGCCUUCUUUGUGUCAUGCCACACGACAAAUUUUGGUUAUACGGCUGUUUACGGAAACCUCGAUAUCCCAGCUCGGCGCUAGAGCACGUUAACGAGGUACGUGUACAUAUAUGAACAUUUUGCGCAUUCGUGUGGUGGUGUUUACAUACCCCUUGUAGAAUCUGCAAAAUCUUAA